rnacentral:rRNA from 1 species
GAUCAUGGCUCAGGAUGAACGCUGGCGGCGUGCUUAACACAUGCAAGUCGAGCGAAGCACUUAAGUUUGAUUCUUCGGAUGAAGACUUUUGUGACUGAGCGGGCGGACGGGUGAGUAACGCGUGGGUAACCUGCCUCAUACAGGGGGAUAACAGUUAGAAAUGGCUGCUAAUACCGCAUAAGACCACAGUACUGCAUGGUACAGUGGUAAAAACUCCGGUGGUAUGAGAUGGGACCCG